CGCAGUAUACACGGUGUAUACGGUGGUGGCAGUGGCCGUGGUGGUCGUGGUGGUCGUGGUGGCCGUGGUGGUCGUAAUAUACUGAGGUAUUAUACGUUGUAUAUAUACGCAUUAUACACGGUGUAUACGGUGGUGGCAGUGGCCGUGGUGGUCGUGGUGAAUCUAUUAUAAAAAUAUCGUAAAACCCGUCACAUGGAUGGAUCGUAUUUCAAUUUUAUAUAAGAC